ensembl:misc_RNA Metazoa_SRP Metazoan signal recognition particle RNA
GCUGGGCGUGUUGGCAUGCGCCUGUAAUCCCAGCUACUCUGGAAGCUGAGACAGGAGACUUGCUUGAACCCAGGAGGCAGAGGGUGCAGUGAGCCGAGGUUGCAGUGAGAUGAGAUUGCACUACUGCACUCCAGCCUAGGUGACAGAGUAAGACUCUGUCUCAA